UCCCUGAUGGUCCAGUGGUUAGGACUCUGCACUUUCACUGCGGAGGGCCCGGGUUCGAUCCCUGGUCAGGGAA
rnacentral:tRNA from 1 species